AGAGUUUGAUCAUGGCUCAGAACGAACGCUGGCGGUGUGCCUAACACAUGCAAGUCGAACGGUCACUUCGGUGAUAGUGGCGGACGGGUGAGUAAUACGUAGAUAAUCUGCCCUAAAGUGGGGGAUAACUAAUCGAAAGAUUAGCUAAUACCGCAUAAAGUGGAUGGCUGGGAUGCUGUCCAAUAAAGGAGAAAUCCGCUUAUGGAGGAGUCUAUGGCUGAUUAGCUAGUUGGUGGGGUAAAGGCUUACCAAGGCGAUGAUCGGUAGCUGGUCUGAGAGGACGAUCAGCCACACUGGGACUGAGACACGGCCCAGACUUCUACGGAAGGCAGCAGUGGGGAAUUUUCCGCAAUGGGCGAAAGCCUGACGGAGCGACACCGCGUGGAGGAUGAAGUUUUUCGGAAUGUAAACUCCUUUCGACAGGGACGAAAAAAAUGACGGUACCUGUAUAAGAAGCAUCGGCUAACUACGUGCCAGCAGCCGCGGUAAUACGUAGGAUGCAAGCGUUGUUCGGAAUUACUGGGCGUAAAGAGUACGUAGGCGGUUUGAUAAGUCUUUUAUUAAAGACCGAAGCUCAACUUCGGGAAUGUAAAGGAAACUGUCAGACUAGAGGUCAGAAGGAGAAAUCGGAAUUCUUAGUGUAGCGGUGAAAUGCGUAGAUAUUAGGAAGAACACCAGUGGCGAAAGCGGAUUUCUGGUCUGAAACUGACGCUGAGGUACGAAGGCGUGGGGAGCAAACGGGAUUAGAUACCCCGGUAGUCCACGCGGUAAACGAUGGAUACUAGGUGUAAUGGGAAUCGACCCCUGUUGUGCCGAAGCUAACGCGAUAAGUAUCCCGCCUGGGGAGUAUGGCCGCAAGGUUGAAACUCAAAGGAAUUGACGGGGGCCCGCACAAGCGGUGGAGGAUGUGGUUUAAUUCGACGCAACGCGAAGAACCUUACCAAGACUUGACAUGGUGCAAAUGUUUUAGAAAUAAGAUAGUGCUCGAAAGAGAAUGUACACACAGGUGGUGCAUGGCUGUCGUCAGCUCGUGUCGUGAGAUGUUGAGUUAAGUCCCGCAACGAGCGCAACCCUCGGUGCCAGUUACCAUCAUUAAGUUGGUGACUCUGGCGCGACUGCCGGUGAUAAGCCGGAGGAAGGUGAGGACGACGUCAAGUCAUCAUGCCCCUUACGUCUUGGGCUACACACGUCCUACAAUGGUAUAGACAAAGAGCUGCAAGGUAGUAAUGCCAAGCGAAUCUCAUAAACUGUAUCUCAGUUCGGAUUGUGGGCUGAAACUCGCCCACAUGAAGUCGGAAUCGCUAGUAACCGUAGAUCAGCAUGCUACGGUGAAUACGUUCCCGGGCCUUGUACACACCGCCCGUCACACCAUGGGAGUGGAAUCUGCCAGAAGUAGGUAGCCUAACCGUAGGGAGGGCGCUUACCACGGUGGGUUUCAUGACUGGGGUGAAGUCGUAACAAGGUA
rnacentral:rRNA from 1 species